rnacentral:lncRNA from 1 species
AACCAACUAUUUGGGCCUCAUAAAAACUGAAACUGGGAAUUUGAAAGGCCUUUUACCCAAGGAGGCCUAGCCUCUCCAUAUCACCUCACUCUCCUUUUCACUCCUGCUGGACUUGUCUGUCUCUAUUACUUCUCUGAUGGAGGUGUCUGUCUGGGGAAAACUAAUAUAGGACAGAAUUAGCCCUGAAAGAGGGAUGUCCCUUAGAAGAUGUGUUUUUAUUUUAGGGCUCAUCCCCCUGUUGGUUUUAUAGAGUUCGAAGGAGUUAUUCUUUAUUUGUCAC